UAUUCUGAGCUACAGGGAUUAUUAGUAGAGAAACUCUCAUUGGGAGAGGGGAUUGAUGGCGUCGAGGCAGCAGCCCUGUGAGUUGACAGGGAUGCUAAUAUAGCCACGGCAGAAGUUUAGAGAGCAGAUCAGAGCAGCUGGGUGGGCUGAUAGAGAGGAUCAGGACAGCCCAGAGGAGCAGUAAGAGGAUCCAAAUAAGUGGAUUAGUAGCAUACCAAAGCACACAUUACUUUUAGUUUUCAAACUCCCAUUGAUUUUACUGCAAGUGCAUUUACUAAUGUGUGGCAGGAGAAACAGAAGAGGAUCAAAGCAGAAUCCAGACAUGGAGAGCAAGUCCCUGUGGCAAGCUGGAAAUGGCGAGAGGCUGGGCUGGGGAGCAGAGCACAACAUCCCCACAUCAGGCUCAGUCAGGACUUAGAGGAGCAUGGCUGCUGCCAGGGCUUCAUCCCGCAGCCUCAAGGAGCUGUCUAAUGGUGUUAAAUGCUUUUGUUCCUGCAGCUGAUGCUGCAUUCAUUUUCCAUCAGUAGCUCCAGCGAUUGCAUCACUGCACUCUUACAUCUGCCUUCAGCUGCUGUGGCUGAAGCAAAUUGACACAAAAAUGGAGGAAUGAUUAGCAGCAUAAACCUCUUGGAACUCUCCCUAGCAGGGGACUCACUGGGCUGCUGGACCCCGAACUGAGCUUGCUGCAAUUUGUGCCUGCAGAAUUCAUCAGAACUGGGACUGCUGACUGCUGUGCUUGGGCAUUGUUGGCAUUGACUCUGGGAUGACCCAAAGCUCAAACGUGCCCUUUCUGAGGACACCAGCCUGGUUUAUAUUUCAUCUCUUAGGCAGAGGUGGUAGUGAUGCAAAGACACAUCCAGACUAAAAUUUCUAAGCACUAGUACUCUUUAUAGCAGAAAAGUUCAAAUUUCUAGGCAAAAUAACAAGCCCUACAUUGUCCUCAGCUCCCUUGAAGCACUUGGGUUGUAAGGCCAAAAUUAGUUCAGCCCAGGGUUUCUCCAUCUUGCAGAGAAGCAGAAGAUGUCCAUGUAUAUGGACAGUUUCUUUUCCAUAUCCUCUUUCAUAAAAAAGAGCAUUGUUGAGACCUUUUCUUCUUUAUCCUUCAGCCACAUCUGUUGCAUAGACACCUUGGUCUCCUCUCCAUUCCCAGAAUUAAAAUCCAAACACUAGUUUGUCUUAGGGAUUACUUAAUAUCCAUUAUGCCACAAGUAUUGGAUCAGAGUGGAUGACCAUCAAGCAUUGACUCUUAGAAUGCAGUGUCCUUCCUCUUGCAAUCUUAGUCCAAGAUGUACAUAAAUUCACAGAGCGGGGGAAAAGUCCAACCUUAUAAAGGUUUGCAUUCUGAUAUGGAAAUGUUUAGAAGGUUUGCAUUCUGAUAUGGAAAUAUUCAGAGGCUUUGUGACUGCACACACAAAGAACACUUUGUACAUAGAUUCAGUUAUAUUCCUUAUUGUUGAAACAGUUCUGGAAUGUUUUGGUCUCCCUGAGCUGGAAAACAGAUGAAAACAUUGGUCUGUCCUGUAAUUUUUUCUUUAAAAUUUAUAUGAGAAAGAUUAACAAGCAGCAGGAUGGACAAAAAGGCAUUUCAACACUGUGUUCCAAAAGAAAAAGAGUAAGGACAGAGACAUGAAAUGUCAAGUACUGUGACUCAAAUGGUCACAAAAAAAUUAAGGAGGAUUAGAAAACAAGUUAAACUGCACUCCUGACUUCAGAAUUCUUCAGGACAUCCAGACACCUUCCUCUCUAAUGACCCAGUCCUUGCAUAUGCCAGCCUGAGAGCCUGCUGAAAGGGAAGGUUUGUAGUGAGACAGCAGAGCACAAUGUGGCCUAUUGUCAGCUUGGGGGCUAAGUACUGCCUACAUAUGUCAUAUGACCUCAAAACCACCACUGGAAACACUACUACAGUUUAUAAAAUCCUCAGUGCCAUUCAUUACACAUAACUAACCAAAAUAGCUCACCUAUUAACCUGUCACCUGCACAACUCCUGGUCUCCAAUUUACCUCUUCACCCUUCUCCUGCUUCUAAUACCACACGGAACCUCAUCAGGCUCCAAGAUGAGUGGUAAUCAUGGUGCUAUUAAUAUGACAGUCAGCAGCCUCAUCCCACUUCACAUGGCCUCACAUGAAUUCCUUGACAUUAGACUUUAAGCCUCAGAUCGAAUCACUGAGUUUAUGAGACUUUCUCCACUGUCAUUUUUCCAACUGAAAAGCUGAAGUGGUUCCGCUUAGUACACUUAUUUAAUUCUCCUCAGCUCUAGGACUCUUUAAUCAUCUUUGUCCUAUACCAUCCUACUUCUGAAUAAUAAAAUGUUAUCAUGAACUGGGCACACCUAGAAACAAAAAGUCUGGGACGUCCUAUGUGAAGAGCACUGCUGCUGUUAAUACUGAAAUAUUACUAGAUCAGAUUAAUUAUAUUUAAUCAGUUAGCUCAUGAUCUGAAAUGAAAAAGUGUUUCUACACACCAGAAAAUUGUUGGAAAAAUUACCACCAGUUAGAAUGGGGAGGGGAUAUUUUGAAAGUAACUUGAAGCAUAAUAAAACGUUAACUAAGAAAUAAUCAGGGAUGAUCAUACUGACUCGAGACAUGUUGCAAGACAAAGUCCUUAUUUAGCCGGCUAAUUUAACAGCAUUUUGAAAAACACAUUACUCAGUUAAUGGUUUGAGGAAACACUUUGAAACCAUUCAUGAAUAGAUACAAAAUGCUCAGAUUUUUCACAUUUUCACCAAAAAGACCUAUGGGUUCUUAAUAUGUAAUAAUAGCAUGAUACUGAGACAGAAACUGAAAUAAAAGAUGAAAUUAAAAGCUGUCUGCCCCCCAGAGCCAGUGUGCACUUUAUCCUAAGUCACUUGGCUGCCACAGCAAUGCAGCCAGUGACUAUCUAGGGUGACACAAGGCAGCCAUUCUAAUGGGAUAAAGAGGACUUUCAUCUCUACAUUUCUCCAGCUGGAAUAAUGCAAUGGUGGCCUGUGACAAACGAGCCAGAUGAUCCCAGUCCAGUUUUAGGAUGCCCACCCCAAAAUGCCCAACGACAGACUCACAGCUCCCUGUACAUGGGAGCCUUUGAGUUUGCGUAGUUUUUUCUAAGUCCCAGCUAAGAAGCACCAGCAGUGUAGGACAAAGCUGCUUCCAGCUACCGGAUCCUCCUAAGUGUUGUAUGGAUAACUACAAGACUUUGACCUAAAGUCACCUUGUCCUAGUUUCUAAUUCACUUUUAUGCAGAUGAGAUGGCAGGACUGGGGCUGCAGUAUCCACACUAGCUCAUACUUUCAGAAAUGAAAGCUGCAAGAUUUAUUUAUCUGAGCGACCACAAUUAGGCCAGCUUGCAGGAUCAGCUUUAUUCUGCAUGAAAAGGAUAGAUCUCUCUAACUCACAUAAAGGAAAAUGAGAAAUAUCAGUGGAAAAGGGGAUGUGCCAAUUCUUGGAACUCUGCAUUGCCCAGACUGAAAUGCCACGAGUGUCCUUUAAGCAAAAUAUCAGCACAGGGAAGGAAGAACUUAAACCAGUAAGAGAGCAGUUUAUAAAACACUGCUGUCACAUUUUCGUAAAUUAUACCCCAAAAUGUUUCACAAAAUUGAGUAACAGAGGAAAACAGAAAAUAUUUUUGUAGCACAUUCCUUUGGCAAAUGCAGGAUAAAGCUCAUCAUGUGAGCUGAACUGUAAAUGAGGGCCUUAUGCUUUAUAAAAAUUCUCCUAUUGUCCCAGGAAGGAUGAGAGUCAAAUGUAACAGUUUCAGCAUAUAAGUCCUGUAAAUAAAGUUAGUUAGCAGACAGGAAUCAGCAGACUGUCUGGGGAGGGGAGAAAAAAAAAAGUGAAAAUACUCUUUUUGUACAAAAAUUUUAAGCACACUGCUGCUGCGUUUCAGACCCAACUUCAUUGCACUGUACCAGAGAUUAAUUGGACCCACAAAAUCCAGCAAACAGCAUAUGACAUCCAUCUACCUUUGCUGCUUCAGCAUCCUCUCAAAAAUAUGUAAUGCAGGAUUUUAAAUAGUACGCUAGCCCAGUUUCCUUUCAUAAAGUCUUACAGAGAAGUUUAGGAAAAUUCCAAAAGUAGCAUAUUGAUUGCCUCUGGGAUUUUCCACUUAGCAAUUUAAUAGAAAAUUACACCCCUACCCAAUCUGUGAGGUUUCCAUAACCUCCCUAGUGAAUUUAAUUUUCCAGCAUAUAAUAAAUUUUACCAUUAGGCAUAUUUUCUGAUAUUGCUUCACCAUUAAGGCUAUUUCCCAAUUUUUCUUUUCAGAACUAGGUAUAUCCUCUGUGUAGUGUCUGGAUGGCACCUUGCACCGAAGAAUUCAGGUCUGACUAUGUGCAUGCACACAGUUAGGAUACAAAUCACUACUGUUAGUAUUCAAUUUGCUUCCCUCCUGCUCAUUUUAUGUCAUUAUACCUAGUGAUAGGGUCAGUCAAUAUUACUGGAGCUAACGGGAUUCUCCUGGGUGCUCUGAGGAGACCAAGGCAAGAUCUGCAUUUUGCAUCUGUUCAAGUAGGCGUAUGCAAGUAUCACAUAGUCUUCUCCUUGUCACAACACAGUCUGACUACAUGUAAAACACAAUAUGAUGAUCGGAGCUGUGUUUGCAGUUAUCAGUAGUCAUAACUGUAAACGCCUGGGUUCUUUCUCUACAGGCAACAGGCAAAAGCACUCUCAGCUGUAAAAAAAAACAAAAACAAAA
ensembl:lncRNA